rnacentral:lncRNA from 1 species
UCAUAAUUAUCUACAAUACUGUCAAUAACUUCAUUUAUGUUACAUCGAUGCUGUACUCGACACACAUAUAGGCUUGUUAACAUGUACAAUAAAUAUUUCCUACUCAAGCGAAAUCUGGAAAUUCUACAAUAUUGUUAAAACUGAGUACGCUUAAGACAACAUACGUUUCUAAAUUAAUGACAUUUCUAUUGUGCAUUAUGAGCAUUAUGAUGACCCAGACGAUCUAAAUGAUUUAAAAACUUUCCUUUUUUAUACUUUAUAUUUCCCACUGAGAUUUCAGAAACAUGCAGACAUAAAGUGAGAAGUCCUCUGGACUUACAAUUUGGAUUUUCGUACAUGCACUUUCUUAUGGAAGGAAACAAUCAAUCACACAGAUUUGAUCCCAGAAUCAAGAGUUCAGCCGGUUCAUUUGUGACGAUAACUAUAAAUGAAUCGAAAACGCUCAAAGAUUUAAAUUUUCUGCAGAAACUUAAAAGUAAAUUCAAUUGUAUAAAUGACGAUAUCGACUACAGUAAGCCGGUUGCAGCUGAACGAACGAUAUCUUUACUUCAAGAAUUUUAUGAGUCGAUGUUUCCAAACCCUUCUUCAUUUGAAAAUAACAGCUGACAAAAGAAAGAGAUUAACUCUCUUUAUUCACACUUUGACAAACAAAGCUAUUUGUGCAAUUUGUGUAAUGACUGACCCCUUAUCAAGUCAAACAUUUCGUUCAAAGACGCCAUCCGACAUGAAAACACUGCCCAUUAAAAUAGAAAAUACUGCAACUUUCAUAAACAAAUAAUCUGAUCAAGUAUAAAACUGUGUUGACUACAAACGGAAACGUAACAUUUUUAUACGUUGCCAACUUCGUAGUUUUUUUUGUGAUGCAAUGUUUGUCGGCAGAACAGCAUUCUGAUAUCUGUAACAAUAAACUAAUUGAUUUCAUUUGAUGCUACAAUAGUAUGAUGGAUGGACAUGAUCAAAUUACUUUUUUAAUUACUUUUUAAUUAUAUAUAUUUUCAUAGUAAUACCGCAUUUAUAUUUUACUUGUAUUUGUACGUUUUAACCGGACACAACUUUAAGCAAUCAGUUUGUCAGGCAGCAUAUAAGAUUUCCAUUUUUCCAUUUUCAAAAGCGAUCUAUAUGUCGUGAAAGACACGAAUAUUAUAUUCUCCUUUCUUUGUAUGGAUAUUUUCCCGCCUUAAUUUCAGGGUUUUGUAUAAUCUUUGCUCCAAAUCACGAUUUAUUCUUGAAUAUUGUUCCCGCCUAAAUUAUGGUUACAUAAAAUGUCUUUUAACUAAAUUGUAACUCCUUAUUUCAUGUUUUUCAUGUUGGCACCAAAACUAAUGUCACGUGAUUUUCCUGUAUAUAAGUAAGAUAAUUUGGUUGUUCAGGGCUCGAUAUUGUAUGAAAACUUAAAGCCUGUGACUAAAGGAAUUAUUUGUGGAAUUAUUUGGAAAUGAAAAGUAAUGUGGAUAUUUAAAAGUGGUGAAAAUUCUUUGGUUAUUAAAAUUGGAUUUAAACUGAAAUUGUGAUUGUGUUUUCACUAAAAUUAUUCCAAUGUGGUUAAAAUCGCCACACUAUAUAUAAGUAGCAAGUUAAUAUAAUAUUAAGAAACUGAAACUGUUUCAUUUGA